GACGAACGCUGGCGGCGUGCUUAACACAUGCAAGUCGAACGGAAAGGCCCUGCUUUUGUUGGUUGCUCGAGUGGCGAACGGGUGAGUAACACGUGAGUAACCUGCCCUUGACUUUGUGAUAUCUUCAGGAAACUGGGGCUAAUACCGGAUAGGAUCUCCUGCUGCAUGUUGGGGGUUGGAAAGUUUCGGCGGUUGGGGAUGUACUCGCGGCUUAUCAGCUUGUUGGUGGGGUAGUGGCUUACCAAGGCUUUGACGGGUAGCCGGCCUGAGAGGGUGACCGGCCACACUGGGACUGAGAUACGGCACAGACUCCGAAGGGAGGGAGCAGUGGGGAAGAUUGAACAAUGGGCGGAAGCCUGAUGCAGAAACGCCGCGUGCGGGAUAACGGCCUUAGGGUUGUAAACCGAUUUCGCCUGUGACGAAGCGUGAGUGAAGGGAAUGGGUAAAGAAGCACAGGCUAAAUAAGUG
rnacentral:rRNA from 1 species